rnacentral:misc_RNA from 1 species
GAUGAAGAACGCAGCGAAAUGCGAUACUUGGUGUGAAUUGCAGAAUCCCGUGAACCAUCGAGUCUUUGAACGCAAGUUGCGCCCGAAGCCAUUAGGCCGAGGGCACGCCUGCCUGGGCGUCACACGUCGUUGCCCCCCCAUCUACUCCUUCGGGAUUGCGGGGGGCGGAUGAUGGCCUCCCGUGCGCCUCGUCGCGCGGUUGGCAUAAAUGCCAAGUCCUCGGCGACGCACGCCACGACAAUCGGUGGUUGCGAAACCUCGGUUGCCCGUCGUGUGCGGUCGUCGCGCAUCGAGGGCUCGAAAAAAUUGUCGGGCUCCGGCUCGGCUUUCAACGCGACCCCGGGUCAGGCGGGGUUACCCGCUGAAUUUAAGCAUAUCAAUAAGCGGAGGA